GGCGGACGGGUGAGUAAUGCAUAGGAAUCUGCCCGAUAGUGGGGGAUAACCUGGGGAAACCCAGGCUAAUACCGCAUACGUCCUACGGGAGAAAGGGGGCUCCGGCUCCCGCUAUCGGAUGAGCCUAUGUCGGAUUAGCUGGUUGGUGAGGUAAAGGCUCACCAAGGCGACGAUCCGUAGCUGGUCUGAGAGGAUGAUCAGCCACAUCGGGACUGAGACACGGCCCGAACUCCUACGGGAGGCAGCAGUGGGGAAUAUUGGACAAUGGGGGCAACCCUGAUCCAGCCAUGCCGCGUGUGUGAAGAAGGCCCUCGGGUUGUAAAGCACUUUCAGUGAGGAAGAACGCCUGGUGGUUAAUACCCAUCAGGAAAGACAUCACUCACAGAAGAAGCACCGGCUAACUCCGUGCCAGCAGCCGCGGCAAUACGGAGGGUGCGAGCGUUAAUCGGAAUUACUGGGCGUAAAGCGCGCGUAGGUGGCUUGAUAAGCCGGUUGUGAAAGCCCCGGGCUCAACCUGGGAACGGCAUCCGGAACUGUCAAGCUAGAGUGCAGGAGAGGAAGGUAGAAUUCCCGGUGUAGCGGUGAAAUGCGUAGAGAUCGGGAGGAAUACCAGUGGCGAAGGCGGCCUUCUGGACUGACACUGACACUGAGGUGCGAAAGCGUGGGUAGCAAACAGGAUUAGAUACCCUGGUAGUCCACGCCGUAAACGAUGUCGACCAGCCGUUGGGUGCCUAGCGCACUUUGUGGCGAAGUUAACGCGAUAAGUCGACC
rnacentral:rRNA from 1 species